rnacentral:rRNA from 1 species
GAGUUCGAUAGGUCGGAGGUGUAAGUGCAGCAAUGCAUUGAGCUGACCGAUACUAAUAGACCGAGGGCUUGAACCUCCA